rnacentral:ncRNA from 1 species
GUAAAAAGGCAAACCUGCCGAAAGACAGGGACGCAAAGCUAAAGGGCCUAAAGCUUAUUGGAAGUAUGGCUGCCAGUUGC